UGGGGAAUAUUGCACAAUGGAGGGAACUCUGAUGCAGCGACGCCGCGUGAACGAAGAAGGCUUUCGAGUCGUAAAGUUCUUUUAUAUGGGAAGAUAAUGACGGUACCAUAAGAAAAAGCCCCGGCUAACUACGUGCCAGCAGCCGCGGUAAUCCGUAGGGGGCUAGCGUUGUCCGGAAUCACUGGGCGUAAAGGGUUCGCAGGCGGAAAUGCAAGUCAGGUGUAAAAGGCAGUAGCUUAACUACUGUAAGCAUUUGAAACUGCAUAUCUUGAGAAGAGUAGAGGUAAGUGGAAUUUUUAGUGUAGCGGUGAAAUGCGUAGAUAUUAAAAAGAAUACCGGUGGCGAAGGCGACUUACUGGACUCAUUCUGACGCUGAGGAACGAAAGCGUGGGUAGCAAACAGG
rnacentral:rRNA from 1 species